GGGGGCAUUGCUGAGUGGUACAGAAUCUACUUUGCAUGCAGAAGAUUCCAGGUUCAAUCCCUGGCAUCUCCA
rnacentral:tRNA from 1 species